AUGCAGCAGCAGAUGCAGCCCCCGCCCCCCGCGCCCGGGAACCCCUGGCCUCCUCACCACGCUGCGGCCCAGCCCCCGCCGCAGAGCUACCCGCCUCCGCCGCCGGGACAGGCUUGGCCGAAUCAUUCAUGGCCUCAAAAUCAUGGAUACCCAGGGCUUGCCAAUGAGGACGAUUGGGCCACAAAGGCAAAGGAAUGGGCUUCUGCUAAAUCUGUUACAGAGAACCACCAGAUUCAGCAGCAUGCCAUUCCAAGUAGAACAGAAAUUCACCAUUAUGGCCACAAUGAUCAGUAUCAGCAACCAGCUGGUCUGCCGACAGAACCUUUACACCCACCAAUUCCACAAUCAAGUAGCGACCAGUUGCUGUUUCAAAUGUCAGGUCAACAGAGGGAAAGAAACUAUUUGCAAGAUAGAGGUCCAAUGGCGCCACCACCGAAGAAUUUUGGUCCAUUUCCAUCCACCUAUGAGCAGGAGGUACCUUAUAAUUAUUCUUCUGCUCAAGGUAAUGGGAAUGCUAUGCUUCAAUAUCCAAGCCCACAAGCUCAGCCAUCUCUGAGUGCUUCAUCAGUUCAAGACGGAUUUCCUCGCGGGCCUCCUGGUGUGCCUGGGCAUGGUUUACAGUCUUAUAGGAUGAUGGCUGAUCCCAGUGACCAACCCUUGGAGUUCAAUGACAGAAAAGCUCCUGAUAUGGCAGUACAUGAGACGAUAAAUAUCAGAUCUAGUGCUCCAACAGCAGUGUCUGAACAUAGCACAAUUCCAACAUCAACUCAAUCAUGGGGCCCAUCUGCUCCAGUUGGAUAUUUUCAUCCAGCUCCAGUACCACAACAAGCAUCACAGAUGGAUCCUUCUUUGCAUGCUGGACCACUCUUUGGAGCACUCUCUGGUUCGAGCUAUGUUCCACCUGCAGCAUUUGGUGUUGGUAGUGUAACUGAAGCAUUCCCUACAGACGCAAACACUCUUUUCAAUGUUGCAGAACGGUCAAAGAAACCUCCAGUACCUAACUGGCUUCGAGAAGAGCUUCUAAAGAAAAAAUCCACUCCAGUGAGUGCUUCAGUGCAGCAUUUGACAAAUUAUGAUUCCAUGGAUUCUGAAGAUGCUGCGGAACCACCAAAAAGAGCUGACCAAACUGAUAGUAGAAGCAUUGGUUCAGCAAAAUCAGUUGUAGCUGAUGAAGCUGAUGAGGAUGAAGUUGAAGCGGCACGGACGGCAGCAAUCAACAAGGAAAUUAAACGUGUGUUGACAGAAGUUCUUCUAAAGGUUACUGAUGAUCUUUUUAACGAGAUCGCAACCAAAGUUAUGAAUGAAGAUGAUUCAUCAGCUGAACCAAAUGAGACCACUGGUGUCUCUAGCUCAAAGGACCUUGGUCUGGGAGAAUCAAAAGUCAAGACCACAGCUAAAGUUGUAGUCCCUGCUAAGCCAAACAAUGUUAGCUCUACUGGCCGUUCUGAUGGUAAUGGGCUAAGUUCUCCUAAAGGUGCUCUUCUUGGUCUUGCUAGUUAUGAUUCAGAUGACGAGGAUGAUGAGGGUGACGGUGAUGGUAAGGAUUUAAUUUCAAAUUUAUCAUCCGAAAUUAAAGUUGAUGCAGCUCAUCCUAAAGAAAGUGAGAACGUUGAUGGUGAACUGCACAAUAAUAGUAACGGAAGUAUUGCUUCAGUCCAAAGUGUUUCAUCCGGAGAUGAUCCUAAAUCCAGUGACAAAAGAUCUCAGAGUAGGCCAACUGCAGAAUCUGAACGAGAGCCAAGUAUUCAUGACACACAGAAUGGAGAAGCCAAAACUUCUAUUCAGCCAAUUGGUGUGAUUCAUAAAACGAAUGAGAAGGCACAUGGACAUGCAGAGGUGGAUUUCCAAAAUGGAAAAACCUCUUCCGGCCAUCAUACUGAAAAUAAUAAUAAUAAUAAUGCGGAGAGCACUCACAGGCAUUUUGAAAGGAGCAGUCAUGAGAAAGAUCUUAAAGAGGUGAAGGUUGUCAAUGGAAAAGACUCUGAGCCUUCUAAAACUGACAAGUUUAGAGAUGGUGACAAGCAUAGCAUGCCUGAAAGUAUUGAUAAAAAGGGCACCUACAAAGAGGAAAGGGGUUCUGGCAGGUAUGCAAAACAUGGAUUGGAUAGAUGGGAUGAUGCCAAAAGAGAUCGAAAGGACCUUCCAAAGGAUGCAAGAGAGAGAAAGAGGGAUUCUGCUGAUAGAAGAGACGUAGGAAAAGAUGGGAAUGACGAUAGGUCAAGGCAAAUUACUAAGAGCUCAGCUAGCCACAGCAGUAGAAGGUCACGGUCACGGUCACCAAGUGGGAGAAGCCGUACUAGGAAUGAGAGUUCUUCACGUGUUCGAGGGAGUGUUUCAAGCGACGAGCCUUCUGAUAAUGCAAAAAGGAGAAAGAGCCAUUCUCAUAAAAACAGCAUGUCUCCCUCACCUCCAAAAUCUAGGAGCAGACGAGUUUCGCGGUCUCCACAUAGCAAGCAUUCUCACCGCAGGCAUUCACCUUAUUCAUCUGCUGAAAGGAAGAAGCGGUCCAGAUCUAGAACUCCGGUCAAGAGGAGGUAG
rnacentral:rRNA from 1 species